GGAGGCGUCUGGGGUCUGGUGGCCCCCGCGGUCUUCAAAACCGACGUGGUCGAGGAUCUCGGCCAGGCGGGUUCGAUUCCCGUCCGCCUCCGCCA
rnacentral:tRNA from 1 species